rnacentral:misc_RNA from 1 species
GAUGAAGAACGUAGCGAAAUGCGAUCAGUAGUGUGAAUUGCAGAAUUCAGUGAAUCAUCGAAUCUUUGAACGCACAUUGCGCCCUUUGGUAUUCCAAAGGGCAUGCCUGUUCGAGCGUCAUUUGUACCCUCAAGCUUUGCUUGGUGUUGGGCGUCUUGUCUCUAGCUUUGCUGGAGACUCGCCUUAAAGUAAUUGGCAGCCGGCCUACUGGUUUCGGAGCGCAGCACAAGUCGCACUCUCUAUCAGCAAAGGUCUAGCAUCCAUUAAGCCUUUUUUUCAACUUUUGACCUCGGAUCAGGUAGGGAUACCCGCUGAACUUAAGCAUAUCAAUAAGCGGAGGA